UACAGAGGCCCCCAAGCGUUACUGAGAAUCACUGGGUUUAAAGGGUGCGUAGGUGGUCCGUUAAGUCUGUUGUGAAAGCCCUUGGCUCAACCAAGGAAUUGCUUCGGAUACUGGCGGACUUGAGGCUAGUAGAGGUCACUGGAACUGACGGUGGAGCGGUGAAAUGCGUAGAUAUCGUCAGGAACGCCGGUGGUGAAGACGGGUGACUGGGGCUAGUUCGUGACACUGAGGCACUGAAAGCGUGGGGAGC
rnacentral:rRNA from 1 species